AUUCCAGCUCCAAUAGCGUAUAUUAAAGUUGUUGCAGUUAAAAAGCUCGUAGUUGGAUUUCUGGACUGGUCGGCCGGUCCGCGACAUGUUCGUGUGUACCUGGUGCGAUUAGUCCAUCCUUGAUGGGAACUAUGGUCACCGUUAAUUCGGUGCUGUAGGGAACAUCGUCGUUUACUGUGAGAAAAAUAGAGUGUUUAAAGCAGGCGUUUGCUCUGAAUACGUUAGCAUGGAAUAAUAAGAUAGGACUUUGGUACUAUUUUGUUGGUUGCAGCCCAAGGUAAUGAUUAAUAGGGACAGUUGGGGGUAUUCAUAUUUAAUUGUCAGAGGUGAAAUUCUUGGAUUUAUGAAAGAUGAACUUAUGCGAAAGCAUUUACCAAGGAUGUUUUCAUCA
rnacentral:rRNA from 1 species